rnacentral:rRNA from 1 species
GAUCCUGGCUUAGGACGAACGCUGGCGGCGUGCCUAACACAUGCAAGUCGAGCGAGGAGAUCCUUCGGGAUGAUCCUAGCGGCGGACGGGUGAGUAACACGUGGGCAACCUGCCUCAUAGAGAGGAAUAGCCUUCCGAAAGGGAGAUUAAUACCUCAUAACAUUGCAGUUUCGCAUGGAACAGCAAUUAAAGGAGUAAUCCGCUAUGAGAUGGGCCCGCGGCGCAUUAGCUAGUUGGUGAGGUAACGGCUCACCAAGGCGACGAUGCGUAGCCGACCUGAGAGGGUGAUCGGCCACAUUGGGACUGAGACACGGCCCAGACUCCUACGGGAGGCAGCAGUGGGGAAUAUUGCACAAUGGGGGAAACCCUGAUGCAGCCAACGCCGCGUGAGUGAUGACGGCCUUCGGGUUGUAAAGCUCUGUCUUCAGGGACGAUAAUGACGGUACCUGAGGAGGAAGCCACGGCUAACUACGUGCCAGCAGCAGC